rnacentral:misc_RNA from 1 species
UACGUAGGGUCCGAGCGUUGUCCGGAAUCAUUGGGUUUAAAGGGUCCGUAGGCGGGACAGUAAGUCAGUGGUGAAAGUCUGCAGCUCAACUGUAGAACUGCCAUUGAAACUGUUGUCCUUGAGUCAUUAUGAAGUGGUUAGAAUAUGUAGUGUAGCGGUGAAAUGCAUAGAUAUUACAUAGAAUACCGAUUGCGAAGGCAGAUCACUAAUAAAAUACUGACGCUGAUGGACGGAAGCGUAGGUAGCGAACAGG